rnacentral:rRNA from 1 species
GGACUACACGGGUUUCUAAUCCCGUUCGCUCCCCUGGCUUUCGCGCCUCAGCGUCAGAAACGGCCCAAGAAGCCGCCUUCGCCACCGGUGUUCCGACUGAUAUCUACGCAUUUCACCGCUACACCAGCCAUUCCACUUCUCUCUACCGCCCUCAAGAGAAGCAGUAUGAGGAGCACUGCAUCAGGUUAAGCCUGAGCCUUUCACUUCUCACUUACUUCCCCGCCUACGCGCGCUUUACGCCCAGUAACUUCGGACAACGCUCGCCCCCUCCGUAUUACCGCGGCGGCUGGCAC